CGGGUGAGUAACGCGUGAGGAACCUGCCUCAAAGAGGGGGACAACAGUUGGAAACGACUGCUAAUACCGCAUAAGCCCACGGCUCGGCAUCGAGCAGAGGGAAAAGGGGCAAUCCGCUUUGAGAUGGCCUCGCGUCCGAUUAGCUAGUUGGUGAGGUAACGGCCCACCAAGGCGACGAUCGGUAGCCGGACUGAGAGGUUGAACGGCCACAUUGGGACUGAGACACGGCCCAG
rnacentral:rRNA from 1 species